rnacentral:rRNA from 1 species
UGCAGAAUCUCGUGAACCAUUGAGUCUUUGAACGCAAGUUGUGCCCGAGGCCUUGUGGUCGAGGGCACGCCUGCUUGGGCGUCACGA